rnacentral:rRNA from 1 species
GUGUACAAGGCCCGGGAACGUAUUCACCGCGGCAUGCUGAUCCGCGAUUACUAGCAAUUCCGACUUCAUGCAGGCGGGUUGCAGCCUGCAAUCCGAACUGAGACGCCUUUUGGGGAUUUGCUCCACCUCGCGGCUUUGCCUCCCUUUGUUUAACGCCAUUGUAUUACGUGUGUAGCCCAGGACAUAAGGGGCAUGAUGAUUUGACGUCGUCCCCACCUUCCUCCGUUUUGUCAACGGCAGUCUCGCUAGAGUGCUCUUGCGUAGCAACUAACAAUAAGGGUUGCGCUCGUUGCGGGACUUAACCCAACAUCUCACGACACGAGCUGACGACAACCAUGCACCACCUGUCUCAACUUUCCCCGAAGGGCACCUAAUGCAUCUCUGCUUCGUUAGUUGGAUGUCAAGCCCUGGUAAGGUUCUUCGCGUUGCUUCGAAUUAAACCACAUAAUCCACUGCUUGUGCGGGCC